CACAAGCAAAGCAAAGCGAAGCCUAAUCGUGUUCGUGUUGGCCAUGGGGUUCAACAGGGCACAGUUGUUUGCCGCCUUCGCCCUGGGCUUGCUCAUCAUGUCCCACGGUGCGGAGGCGUUCAUCCCCGUCCCCGGAUAUGCCACUCCCCAAGCCAUCUUUAUCGUGGCUCAUGCAACAACAGGAAAUGCGUGGAGGUGUGCCACCACGAGCACUUCACCGGCGGCUACUGCUCACGUAAAGGGAUUGUUAAAAGACUUCAUUGUGAAUGUACCAUAAAAUGCGGCCAUCAUAGUCCUCCACCGCCAUCGGAAGUGCCGGAGCCGCCGUCGUCUGAACGGCCACCACCACCACCAAGAGUCAUGUAGGCGAGAAAAGUUUAUGGAGCCAUGAAACACUCACUGAAAGGAUAAUAUUUGCGUCUCCGUGGAAAUAUUCAAUUUGUAAGGAACUGUAUGCAUCAUUGAUCGCAUGAAAAUAAUUUGAAGUGCCGAAGCAAUAAUAAGAAAAACCUCUUUAAUU